AGUACUACAUACCCUUAACAGCGCAAGAUGGGCAAUUUUAUGACACUCGUACAUCUCACGUUUCUCUUUUUCUGAGCGUACCCUUUACGGCAAUGUCUUCAUCUUUAAAUUUCAAUGACGGUUUUUGGCGGGAUUUGCGGGUGGCGGCGCCCCUGCAGUUAAUAAACAAUCGGUGAUCGGUGUGCCACCAUAUUGACAACCUCCGCCAAUCAAAACAUUUUAUUUCCCAGUUCUUACCGCCAACUGAACGGUCGAAUAUGCCCGUGCUGUUCGCAUCGUUGGAUUUUUUCUUCUUUCGCUACACUUCUCGGAGUAAAAGAAAUGUGCAGUGUGACCGCGGUAUUUCGGUUCGUAUUUGGAAGUCGUUGAGUGGUGGGCUUCAAUAGCGUACAAUCGAUCAACAGACAUCGUUCGUAUCUGUGAACCACACGGUAAUUUCAGGAUACAAUGAACGGAUCCACAAUAAACGAACCAUCGUGAGACAAGAUAAAAUUCAGUUAUUUUCACGGUAAUAUAAAACUUAUUCCGUGAUACUCUUGGGAAUUUUCUACGGACAUCGAGGCUGGGCUGAUCUUCACGAUCCAGCUCGAGAAGAUUUCAAACCAGGAGGAGUCAUCCUAUAACGCCUGCACUUUUUUGCGAUCACCGUGAAACGAGCUCAAGGGUAUACACACCGAAUAUACCUGUACGGUAUGUCGGUGAGAUUGGACUGGCUGUGGGAAUGCGGUACGCGAGGAGCAGUCGCGAUGUCCCUGAUCCCGCAAAUCGCCAGCUCGUGAGCCGAGCCGGAAAGACUCCGA